UCCCAAUCUGCUCCUCCUGCCAAGCCGAGAGCCCGGAUCUUGGGUUCACCGGCUCAGCUCAUCCCACCGCCGCAGCAGCCUCUUCUAACACUUCCAAACCCUUGCCUCUUUGCUCUCGCUCUCUCCCUUCCUCCGCGGUCCUUAAUGGCAUCCCUUCUCCAAAAACUCCUCAGGAGAACCCGUCCUCCUCCACCCCUCCGAAUCCUCCCAUCCCUCACCAAACAAGCCCAUCUCCCAGACCCCUCCUCCCUCCCUCCCCAAAACCCAAUCACGAGAGCCAAUCUCACCCCAACCCCUCCCCCUACUUAUCUUCCAAACGCCGGUGCAGGCGGGCAGCCCCCUCCUUUCUGUCACCCCAUUCAGAUAUACCCACAAUUUCCCUUCUUCUUCCAUGGACUCGUCGAAUCCGAUGCCGAGGAUGCGUCCCGCGAUGGGAUCAGCGAUCGAACGGUGUGGGCCGACAGCGUGAAGAAGAAGAGGAAGAGGAAGAUGAACAAACACAAGUACAAGAAGCUCAGGAAGCGCCUCCGCCGCCAGACUUAGCCUCCCCCGGCUCCAUUUGCUGGACCAUCUUUGUCGAGGAGAAUACGUACCUUCAAAUGGACUAGAAGUUUCUUGUCAGGAGAAAAACUAAAUAAAGAGAAAAGCAUGAAGCACAUCACAUUGCAAUCAUUUCUUUGUUCGAAAUUUUUUUCCCCGGGAGGAGGCCUGCAAAUUGUUGCCCAGGUCGUUGCUACCUGAAGGAAUCCUGGUUGCCUGUGUAUGGUUUGAUGUUUACUGGAGGUGAAGAGUCCUGAGCAUGUCACUAUUUGUGGAAGGAUAUAUUUGUUUGCUGGGCAACUUACAAAGUAGACCUAACUAAUGUAUAUUUUCUUUUUUUUUUUGGUAGGAAACUAAUGUAUAUUUUCUUUGUUGGCAGAUGGAAAGCAUAUGUUAAACAUAUGUUGUUUUUCCUAAUAUUCGAGUCUUAGUU